rnacentral:lncRNA from 1 species
AAAAAUAAGACAAAAGGAGUUGAUUCUGCUUCUUCUGCAAAAUCUGUGGUUACACAUGGUGGACCAUAAAUUGGAACUUCUGUGGUUGGGAGGACAUCUGUGAAGACCAUGGAGAAAGAACAUGUGCAAGAGAGUGACUCAGGUGCUAAUGAAGACUAGGUUACCUUCACGAAUUCAAGAGGAUGGACUGGAGAUAAAAUUAAAAGGGACAUGGAGGCUUUAUUCCAUGUGUUUUUUUGUUUGAUUGACCCUUGUA